AAUUUUCAAAUUUCAAUCCUGGGAAUCGUUAUCUUUUUAUUCAAAAUUUAUAAUCGUUUUCCACCCCCCAUCUAUAAUACCUUUUCAAAAAUCUCACUCUGUUUCUUUUACCCCUUGAACCUCUUCAGCAAUUGUUCCCUUUGUUAGCCAAAAUGAGAGAGUUCACAUUCGUCAAGCUGGUAACACCUGUUGGGAACUCUACUGUCUUCAACAUGGCAUUCAAGUCUUUCUUGUGUUCAUUUUCCAAUACAAACUCAAUAUUUUCUCCUUUUUCUUCGUUGGUUAUUUAAUCUUCUUUCGUUCUUUUUUUUAUCUUGAACCGACCAUAAUUGAUGAACUUAGAACCUAUUAUUCCACCAUGAACAACUUAUUAGGGGCAAAGAAGAUGCUGCAAUCAACUUUGCCAGAGGCCACUUCACAAUUGGGAAGGAAACGGUGGAUCUGUGCCUUGAUAGGAUCAGGAAGCUAGCAGAUAACUGUACUGGACUUCAAGGGUUUUUGGUGUUUCGUGCUUGGAUAAUUGCUUCUUAAAACGCUUUCAGUGGAUUAUGAGCACACUGAUGAUGCGGUGCUCCUUGAUAAUGAAGCUUUUUGCCGAAGGUCUCUCGAUAGUGAGGGGCCUGCUUACACUAAUCUCAAAAGGCUGGUCUAUCAGGUACAAUAAAUGAGUUUUUUUUUUUUUUUUUAAUUUGAUUGUUUGCAUUGUAUGUGUUUACUUAUAAUGUUCGGUAACUAUGUUAAUUAAUUAUCUUAAUUAUAUGAGCUUAUAUUUUAGUGACUAUGUUUUCCACGAAAUUUGGUUAACCUUUUCUUCGUUUAUGAUAAAAAGUUAUUUAUAAUUUUAGGUUUAUUAUUUAUGUUUCAAUUAUAUGAUAAUUAGUUUGUAACCUAUGCAAUGCAUAUGAUAUGAAUAUUUUAAUUUAAUUUGAUAUAUAACUAAUAAUUUUGUUUUUAUUAUUAUCAUGACCCAUGCCUCGUUUCUUUAAAUUUGAUGAAAUAUAGGAUAUUGUAUGAUAAUCAAAGUUCUUGAAAGAAAUUGUAUAAACAAUUGAGGUAGGAAAGUUGGAUGUGAAUUGGGUUCUUUAGGAUAGUCUCAUUUUAUGUAGUGUUCAUGACAGAAAGUACAGAAGACUUUGUAGCUAAUCUGUUGACUUCUAUUAGACUUGUAAAGUUUGUUAGCAAAACAAGGAGAAAUACUUAAGUCUCGCAGCCUUGCUACAAUUGCUAGAAUAACGAAAUCAGGUUGUCCAAAUCUCUUGGGAAAA